AUGACAUUAUGUCCAAAUUUAUUUAAGGAUAUUUCAUUAAGGUAGCUGAAAAAGACAAACAAUAAAAUAGGAAGUUUAAAUUCAUUUAAGCAUAUUUCAUUAAUGUAACUGAAAAGACAAAUAAUAAAUUAGGCAGUUUUAUUCGUUUUAUGAUAUUUCAUAAAUGCAACUGAAAAAAACAAGUAAAAAAAUAGGGAGUUUAAUUAAUGAAGUAAGAACAUUUUCAAAUGGGUACUUCUCUUUUAAUAAUAUAGAUAGAAUAAAUUUGUUCUUCACUAAAAUUGAUAAGGAAUAAUUUUUGUUUUCAUUCUUGUAAUUGUAUUCUGCAUUUUUUCCUUACUCAUUUCUAAUGUUCCUAUAAUAUUCACCACUUAGACCCCAAGGGACCUCAUUAUUCAUUGUAUAACGACCUCGAUCUGAUAAUCGAACUCACUCGCAUUUGAAACCUCUUUCU
rnacentral:lncRNA from 1 species